UACGUAGGGGGCAAGCGUUGUCCGGAUUUAUUGGGCGUAAAGAGCGUGUAGGCGGCUAGGUAGGUCCGUUGUGAAAACUCGAGGCUCAACCUCGAGACGCCGAUGGAAACCAUCUAGCUAGAGUCCGGAGGAGGAGAGUGGAAUUCCUGGUGUAGCGGUGAAAUGCGCAGAUAUCAGGAGGAACACCAAUUGCGAAGGCAGCUCGCUGGGACGUGACUGACGCUGAGACGCGAAAGCGUGGGGAGCAAACAGG
rnacentral:rRNA from 1 species